GCCCUGUGAUGAGAACAUGGCAAAUAUGAGCUGAUUGGGUGGGAUGUUGUGUUCUCUUGUUUUCUGACUGGUGGGUAAUCUUGGCAGAGCAGGGGAGAUUGGCUGCGCUGCUGUAAGGGCCCACCCAUAUUGAUACCAGCUGUCAAGCAUAAUACAGUUCUACUUUAGAAAUGGAUAUUUGUGGGUGACUUGGCAGCUUACAGUGUGUGUGUGUUUAUGUCCCUAGUGUGUGUAAAUGUGUCGGUCAGCAAAGAGUCACAUCUCCUAACAGGCUCACCAGCUGUGAAUGUUUUCUUUGGUAAUCUGAGGGCA